rnacentral:rRNA from 1 species
GCCUAACACAUGCAAGUCGAGCGGUAGAGAGAAGCUUGCUUCUCUUGAGAGCGGCGGACGGGUGAGUAAUACCUAGGAAUCUGCCUGAUAGUGGGGGAUAACGUUCGGAAACGGACGCUAAUACCGCAUACGUCCUACGGGAGAAAGCAGGGGACCUUCGGGCCUUGCGCUAUCAGAUGAGCCUAGGUCGGAUUAGCUAGUUGGUGAGGUAAUGGCUCACCAAGGCUACGAUCCGUAACUGGUCUGAGAGGAUGAUCAGUCACACUGGAACUGAGACACGGUCCAGACUCCUACGGGAGGCAGCAGUGGGGAAUAUUGGACAAUGGGCGAAAGCCUGAUCCAGCCAUGCCGCGUGUGUGAAGAAGGUCUUCGGAUUGUAAAGCACUUUAAGUUGGGAGGAAGGGCAGUUACCUAAUACGUGAUUGUCUUGACGUUACCGACAGAAUAAGCACCGGCUAACUCUGUGCCAGCAGCCGCGGUAAUACAGAGGGUGCAAGCGUUAAUCGGAAUUACUGGGCGUAAAGCGCGCGUAGGUGGUUUGUUAAGUUGAAUGUGAAAUCCCCGGGCUCAACCUGGGAACUGCAUCCAAAACUGGCAAGCUAGAGUAUGGUAGAGGGUAGUGGAAUUUCCUGUGUAGCGGUGAAAUGCGUAGAUAUAGGAAGGAACACCAGUGGCGAAGGCGACUACCUGGACUGAUACUGACACUGAGGUGCGAAAGCG